rnacentral:lncRNA from 1 species
GAAGAUGUUACUGUGAAAGAAGAUGUUACUGUGAAAGAAGAUGUUACUGUGAAAGAAGAUGUUACUGUGAAAGAAGAGGAUGUUACUGUGAAAGAAGAGGAUGUUACUGUGAAAGAAGAGGAUGUUACUGUGAAAGAAGAUGUUACUGUGAAAGAAUAAGUUGUUACUGUGAAAGAAGAAGUUGUUACUGUGAAAGAAGAAGUUGUUACUGUGAAAGAAGAUGUUACUGUGAAAGAAGAUGUUACUGUGAAAGAAGAAGAUGUUACUGUGAAAGAAGAUGUUACUGUGAAAGAAGAGGAUGCAAUUGAAAGAGUGAAAGAGGAGGAGAUGACUGUCACGGUGAAAGAAGAGGAAGACGUGUUUGGAGUAAAGGAAGAAGGAGAGGAGGGGGAGAUGACUGUCACAUUGGAGGAAGGAGAGGAGGAGGAGACAGGAGAUCUGAUUAACACCAUGAGAAACACUCUCCCUCCAACCCUCCUCCCCCCUACCCCUCCCGGAGUCCCCGGGUCGUACCUCUCCUGGUAACACCUUACUGCUGGGUCUGAAGAGGGUGUCUGUGCGGUUGGUCGACUGCAGGAAAACACCGGCGCUAAGGGACAGUCCUAACUGUCACUCUCUCAGUAGAAGGGGCUUGUCAACUUGGGAGGCUGAUGCUGAGGAGGCAGAGAAAAGUCUCUCCAGAUCAGAACACCUCAAGAAACACCAGCAGAGACCCACACGGAAGAAACCUCACUGCUGCUCUGACUGUGGGAAGAGUUACACCUCUAAAGUAAACCUUAGAGGACACCAGAGAAUUCAUACUGGAGAGAAACCUCACUGCUGCUCCCAGUGUGGAGUGAGCCUCUCCUCUG